AUUUUGAAUGGUUUUCUUUGACUCAAGCAACCAACCUACAUACGUCACGCUGCCCUCACGCUGCCUUUACUCCGAUUGGUAGUUGCUUUGUCGCAUCGCUCCGAAUUUGCAUGAAAUAGACUUCUUGUGUUUAUUUUGGCCCUGCCUUGCUCAUGGCAGCGGCAAGCUCGUCGCUUGUCGCCGGCAAACGGCCACUCUUAUUGAAAAUGUAUGGCAGCCUGUCGCUUUGUCUCUGUCUCUUGUAGCUAAUGUGACUGAGGGGUCAAACAAAA